AGUGAACGCUGGCGGUAGGCCUAACACAUGCAAGUCGAACGGCAGCACAGUAAGAGCUUGCUCUUACGGGUGGCGAGUGGCGGACGGGUGGGGAAUACAUCGGAAUCUACUUUUUCGUGGGGGAUAACGUAGGGGAACUUACGCUAAUACCGCAUACGACCUACGGGUGAAAGCAGGGGAUAUUCGGACCUUGCGCGAUUGAAUGAGCCGAUGUCGGAUUAGCUAGUUGGCGGGGUAAAGGCCCACCAAGGCGACGAUCCGUAGCUGGUCUGAGAGGAUGGUCAGCCACACUGGAACUGAGACACGGUCCAGACUCCUACGGGAGGCAGCAGUGGGGAAUAUUGGACAAUGGGCGCAAGCCUUAUCCAGCCAUACCGCGUGGGUGAAGAAGGCCUUCGGGUUGUAAAGCCCUUUUGUUGGGAAAGAAAAGCAGCAGGUUAAUACCCCGCUGUUCUGACGGUACCCAAAGAAUAAGCACCGGCUAACUUCGUG
rnacentral:rRNA from 1 species